UACAGAGGUCCCGAGCGUUGUUCGGAUUCACUGGGCGUAAAGGGUGCGUAGGUGGUGGGGUAAGUCUGAUGUGAAAUCUCUGAGCUCAACUCAGAAAUUGCAUUAGAAACUACCUUGCUAGAGGAUUGGAGGGGGGACUGGAAUUCUCGGUGUAGCAGUGAAAUGCGUAGAUAUUGGGAAGAACACCAGCGGCGAAAGCGCGUGACUGGACCGGAACUGACACUCAUGGACGAAAGCUAGGGGAGCGAAAGGG
rnacentral:rRNA from 1 species